UACAGAGGGUGCAAGCGUUAAUCGGAAUUACUGGGCGUAAAGGGCUCGUAGGUGGCCAACUAAGUCGGACGUGAAAUCCCUCGGCUUAACCGGGGAACUGCGUCUGAUACUGGAUGGCUUGAGUUCGGGAGAGGGAUGCGGAAUUCCAGGUGUAGCGGUGAAAUGCGUAGAUAUCUGGAGGAACACCGGUGGCGAAGGCGGCAUCCUGGGCCAACACUGACGCUCAUGCACGAAAGCGUGGGGAGCAAACAGG
rnacentral:rRNA from 1 species